rnacentral:rRNA from 1 species
GUGGGGAAUAUUGGACAAUGGGGGGAACCCUGAUCCAGCCAUGCCGCGUGUGUGAAGAAGGCCUUUUGGUUGUAAAGCACUUUAAGCGAGGAGGAGGCUACCGAGAUUAAUACUCUUGGAUAGUGGACGUUACUCGCAGAAUAAGCACCGGCUAACUCUGUGCCAGCAGCCGCGGUAAUACAGAGGGUGCAAGCGUUAAUCGGAUUUACUGGGCGUACAGCGCGCGUAGGUGGCCAAUUAAGUCAAAUGUGAAAUCCCCGAGCUUAACUUGGGAAUUGCAUUCGAUACUGGUUGGCUAGAGUAUGGGAGAGGAUGGUAGAAUUCCAGGUGUAGCGGUGAAAUGCGUAGAGAUCUGGAGGAAUACCGAUGGCGAAGGCAGCCAUCUGGCCUAAUACUGACACUGAGGUGCGAAAGCAUGGGGAGCAAACAGGAUUAGAAACCCCAGUAGUCC